UCUUUCCCUAGAAGUGUUUCAGUGUGUGGUGGCUGUGUCACAUGUGCACCAGUAGGUGGCAGAGAGGAGCGAGGCUAUGUCUAUGCUUAGUGUUCUGACCUGUGAACAUCUGAAUGAUUUGUAGCCUAAUAUU